UACGUAGGGUGCGAGCGUUAAUCGGAAUUACUGGGCGUAAAGCGCGCGCAGGCGGUCCUUUAAGUCUGAUGUGAAAGCCCACGGCUCAACCGUGGAGGGUCAUUGGAAACUGGGGGACUUGAGUGCAGAAGAGAAGAGUGGAAUUCCACGUGUAGCGGUGAAAUGCGUAGAGAUGUGGAGGAACACCAGUGGCGAAGGCGACUCUUUGGUCUGUAACUGACGCUGAGGCGCGAAAGCGUGGGGAGCAAACAGG
rnacentral:rRNA from 1 species